AUCUGCUGGGUGAUCCUUUAAAAAAUUUCUCCAACAAGCCUUGGGGUUUAUUUUUUUUCUUUCUUCUGCGCGGCUAAAUAGAAGUUGACUUUGUUUCCUCCCUUUUUCUUAGCCUCGUACACUUUACAGUAUAUAAAGAAGUCAUGAAGUAGUCAAGGUUUUCAUACAUUUUUUUUUUAUUUUUUUUCUCUGAAAAAAAGCCGCAGAUCUCAUGCAAAGAACGGAGGAAGGGACAACACGCGCGCUGCUCUGAUGCGUCUGUGCAAUAGACUCUACAGCGAAGGAAAAUUGUGAGUUUAAAAGAGAAAAAAGGGUACUGCAAACCGAAAGCUCUUUUUUCUUGGUUCAAAAAAAUUAAAUAAAUAAAUCAAGCUGGCUCACACUCUUUCAAACCAGAACAGUUUGACAGCUGCUCUUCACCCCCUUUGGAGGACUGUCAACAGCAAAAGGAUGGCAUCAGAACUGGCAAUGAGCAACUCCGACCUGCCCACUAGUCCCCUGGCCAUGGAAUAUGUUAAUGACUUCGAUCUGAUGAAGUUUGAAGUGAAAAAGGAGCCGGUGGAGCCCGAUCGCAGCAUCAGCCAGUGCAGCCGCCUGAUCGCCGGGGGAUCCCUGUCUUCCACCCCGAUGAGCACGCCUUGCAGCUCCGUACCCCCUUCCCCAAGCUUCUCGGCGCCCAGCCCGGGCUCUGGGAGCGACCAGAAGGCGCACUUGGAGGAUUUCUACUGGAUGACCGGCUACCAACAGCAGUUGAACCCGGAGGCUUUGGGCUUUAGCCCUGAAGACGCAGUAGAGGCUCUGAUCAACAGCAGUCACCAGCUUCAGAGCUUCGACGGCUAUGCUAGAGGGCAGCAGUUUGCCGGAGGAGCCGGAUCGGGAGGCACCAUGGCCGGGGAAGAGAUGGGAUCCGCCGCCGCUGUGGUGUCCGCAGUGAUCGCGGCGGCUGCAGCUCAGAGCGCGGCUCCUCAUCACCACCACCACCACCAUCACACCGGCGGACACCACCAAGCAUCCGGGGCGCCUUCCACCGGCAACUCAGGGGCGAACCACCAGCACCACAGCAUGCAUUUGGACGACCGGUUUUCGGACGAGCAGCUGGUUACCAUGUCGGUAAGAGAGCUGAACCGGCAGCUGCGGGGGGUCAGCAAAGAAGAAGUGAUCCGGCUGAAACAAAAGAGGAGAACCCUUAAAAACAGAGGCUAUGCCCAGUCGUGUCGUUACAAGAGGGUCCAGCAGAGGCACGUCCUGGAAGGCGAGAAGAAUCAACUCAUGCAGCAAGUUGAGCACCUCAAGCAAGAGAUCUCCAGGCUGGUCCGGGAGAGGGAUGCCUACAAGGAAAAAUACGAGAAGCUCAUCAGCAAUGGCUUCAGAGAAAACGGCUCCAGCAGCGACAACCCUUCUUCUCCAGAGUUUUUCAUGUGAGUCUCAACAUACAAACACAGCUUGUCAACCCCUUAAUAACAGUUCUCCAUGUGAAAUAUUAUUAUUUUCUUUUUCUUCUUUUUUUUUGUCUGGGGUUUACUAGACCAAGAAGCAAGUUUGCCAACCUUUAGAAAAGGUGCUUUACUUUUUCGUCUUUUGUAAUGAGAAUCGGUGGCUUGCUCAAGUUUUUAAGUUUUUUUUUUCUUUUUUUUUGCAGGGGGAGGGCUUUAUAAAAUAAAGAUUGGACAUAUUAUCAAAGAUAUAUAUUCAUUUUGGAACUUACUCUUUGAAACCUGCCAUCAGUGUCUUUUUGUUAUGAUAAUAGUUGCAGGUAUGUGUGUAUAUGUACAGUAUAUACACACAUAGGCACAGACACAUUAGUUUUGGGCUUGCUGUGUGUGUCUUUUUCUAUUAAGUCCUUUUUUUGCAUAACAUUUGAGUUUGCAUUGUGAAAAAGAGACUCACUUUUGCCUUUUAAGUUCAUCAAGAUAUUUUUUAGCACUACCCAGCUUAAAAAUGAAAAUAAAGGCCCACCCGCCAAAAAUACAACUCCAGCCACCUUCAGCUUUCAUGUGAGUUUUUGGCUUUUAUUUAUUUUUAUUUUUAAUUUGCCAAACAAAAAAAAUACUUUGAGCCUGCCAUUUUUACUCCAUUCUCAUCUCAUGCAUUAUAAUGCUUGCUAUUUUGUGUUUAGCAACCAAGAACUGUAACUGUUGAAAAUAUAUACAUUAUCAAAAGACAUUAUAUUAAAAAACAACCUUGCAUGCUGGACAUGUAUGGUUUUUUUUUUGUUUUUGUUUUUUUUUUUUCUUUGUGCUUGAAAAAGAACUUUCUUGGAUGACUUAAACGGCAUGGCAUUCAUAACUUUAUUAUAUAUUGCUUCAUCACUUUUUUGAGUUUGCAACAAAAAAGUGCGAGUGACAUCCCCACAUGAAAAUGCAUCUGCUAUUAUAGACUGCUUGAAGUUUUCAGUUGUGCAAAAAAAAAAAGAAAGGAAAAAAGUCAGACUCCCAUUUUUUUUUUCUUUUCUUUAUUUGUACAUUUAUGCACUGAAGCAUUCCUCUUGAAAGCUGUCAAACUGGAUUCCGUGUUGUUAAGGAAAGAGGACUUGGAAGUUUCAAAAAGGAAUCGAUCCCUCUUUGGGACUAAAACUCUUUAUUGCUUAAAAGCAGUUUCUUUUAUUUAACAUAUGCCCCUUUCUAAUGCAUUUGGUAAUUCUGUGGAAUGCUGUGAGUUCCCAGUAUAUAAGUUAAGUAUAUAGUUUUAUAAUCUGUAAGCCCUGAAUUAAAUGGUUAUGCUACAGGUUGUUAUAAAAAAGGAAUGUUAUAGAUAGAUUAGGUUUACUUAGCUGUAGGUUUUAUAUGGUCUGAUGCACUAAAUUGUUUUAUUGUUGUGAUGUAAAGGGGGAGGGGCAAAUUUGUAAAAUAAAUGGGAUUGUUUGAAUACAUAAAACAAAUUUUGCAGCAUGUGCUUGCAAUUAAAACAGGAGUUGGAUAAAAUGUAGCCCUUGGUAUACCACUGACUGUAUUUUUAAACCAAAGUAUUAGGAGGAGGAAGUCCUGUGCACUCACAAGGGGUGCGGGGGUGGGGAGGCAGUGUGUUGGUUGCUAUACAUUUGAAAAUGUAUGCUUAAGAAAAAAACAAAAAAAAAAAAACAAAAACAAAUAACCAAUACUAGUAAUUAAAAAGAAAAAAGAAAAAAAAGUAUUUUGGACUGAAUUUGCACUAAAAUGUAAUAUACAAGCAUAUAAUAGAAAAUGCAAAUCUGUUUAAAACGCUAAUCAAAAUAAAGAAGUAAGGUUUAUACAGUUAUACAUGGCAUUACUGCACUUUUAAAGUGAUGCAAUUUUUAAGAGUCUCUGUUAUAAUAUACAACUGAAGUUUCAAUGGCAAUAAUCAUCUUCAGUGUCUGGAUAUUGAUAGAUCACCAGGGGCUGAUACCCUGCCUGUGUGGAAAGUACCAAUUCAAUAAUAAUAAUAAUAAUAAACAUAAUAAUAAUAAUAAUAAUUUAGUAAUAAUAAAUACACACACACAAAAGUAAAAAAAAAAUCUGUCAAUUACAAUUCAUUUCAUUUCUAUAUAUUUUGCUGUGCAAAAUUUUUUAGUUCUUUUAAGUUACUAACCAUAUGUGAUGUUCAUAUAUGUGCUUAAUUUUUCUUUCAGACUCUUGUGGAUAUAAAAAUGAAUUUUAAAAUAUGCAAAAAUAAAUAAAUAAAUUGCACUUUUGGCUCAAUUCAGUUUCUUUUCAGAGGUUCACUGCUUAAAACUUUUUUUUACUAGAACUAUAUCAUUUUGAAAAGUACACUGACUGGCAGGCCUAUUUUUUUUUUUUUGUAUUUUAUAUUUAUGCUCUAAGUACUUGGCACUGUGGCACCACUUUGCAGUUAUGAAACAAGUUAACUUUACCCCCUCUAAAUUUAUGUUGACGAAUUGUAGACCAAUGUAUGCAGAGUUAGUCUUGAUUUGCUAAGUUUCUGAAAGACAUAUAUUUCAUUAAGUGUUGUGAUUCUUCUUAUUAGUUACAGCAAAAGUCGUGAAAGCUAGAAAUUGCUCUGUGUGUCAACAGAAAGCAAAUAACUAAAACAUACAACAAAAUUAGCUAAAGCAAGCUUUUACAGUCCUGUCGUUAUGUAAUGUAUUUUUAAUACGCUAAUAAACUAUGCAAGCCUUCUAUGGCCCCUUAAGGGCACUAAGCUGUACGGGGCAGUUCAGACCCCCACUUCUGGAGCAAAUAUGCUUAGCGGUGCAUAAGUGUAUUUGUAAUAGGAUUUUUAAGGAUAAUUGCAAGAUGACAAUGUGGAGUAUUCAAAGCUGUAAUCAACUUAUUUUUAUCUUCAUCUGCACAAAGACUGGAGCAAAGCUUGGAGCCGGGCUCUUCAAAGAGAGAUUUAUCACACUGAUUAACACUUGAGGGUUCAUGACUCUUCCCAACGUACUAGUAAAGGGACUAUAUCUUUAGUAAAUAGCUCCAGAAACAUAACAAACGGGGGCGACCAAAAGAAAGAAAGAAAAAAGAAUGAGAGUUUUCCCCCCUCUUUUUUUUUUUUUUAAAUCGUUACCUGUUACCUUCCUUUUGCCCGCAGUUUUUAGCCUUUGGCUUUGCUGGUUGCCUUUUGACCUUUUGAAUUGCGCAACAUCUUAAGUGAUAAUGGUGCGUGCUUCAGGUCACAGUUAAUAAUUAAACUUAAGGCAAACUUAAAAACAUCAGGCAGUUUCAACUACGCUGCACUGAUUGAAAGUAAGACCUUGCAGUUAUAACUAAUAUGCAAGUAGGUUUUCCAUAUUGAUCACUCGUCGCGAUGCCACUUGAAUUACUUUAUACUUGAAGGUGCGGCUUCUGAUUCCAUACAGGGCGCAAUUAAAACAGACGUGCUCGCGAACUCAUUUGGAGCGAUCUUUCGAGUUCCUUGAAGAAAAAAGUCAUCAAGAAAAUUUCUACAUCUGUGAUAAAGAAAUUUGACCGAGUGCCCUUGGCCUUGAAGUUUGAGGUGAUUGCGGAAAUGCAACGCACCCUUGGCUUUUAACAUCUGUUUGCAAUCCAGUCACGGAGGAGAAAGGGCUUACUACAUGACACACCAGGCCACCAGGAAUGUGAUCAACAAGAUUUUUAUUUUUCAGUACUUCUUGGACAGUUGCGUAAUUUUCUUCAGUAUUAAAGUGAGGAGCGCUCUGCCUUGGUGUACUCAUCUUUGGUAAUAUCCCCUGCCUGUAGGGAUCUAGUUCCUCCGGUUAUACUGCUGUGUAUGGCUGUUGGAGUGUACACCGAGAUGCAGCCUGCUCGUUCCCUUGUACGAAACUGUAAUCCUUGCUAAUGGAUCCAUACUACUAUAUGUAGUCAUUUAAAAAGGUACGUGAAUUAUGAACUCCAGUUUUUUUCACACAGCACAUAUUUCACGGCCAUAACUUGAAAUUCAUGUGAAACUGUAAUAAAUAAGAUCUGUUCCUUGAAUAUCUUUCUGGUAAAGCUCUCAGACAGCACUAAAUGUUAACUCUGGCACGGGCACUCCUUAUAACAAUCUCAACACCUCUGUGGUGCACCCCGCAACGUCAAACUUUGCAAGUCCCACUACAGCCAUAUCUGACUUAUCAAUAAAUGGAGAGCAAGAUAAGUGGCAAUAUGAAGUUGAUUAGCAGGCUGUGCAACAGCAACUCCAAGGUGACUUCUCAAAAGUGUUGGAGAUCCAUAUGAUGGGAAUAUUCUACUAACCAAUGAUGGUAAAAAAAAAAAUGAGUUCUUAACAUUUGCCAGUUCUUCUAUUACCUUCCCUGGACUGCAUAGUUGCUGGAUAAUAAAAGAAACUGUAACUGGAAGAGCCAUUUGGAUAAAACAAGACUGAUGAACUGAACAACACACAUGCAUAAACAAGAAUAAAUUACAGCAGGUUAAAAAAUGGUAUAAGGAUGUAAUUGAUUUUGCUAUGGAUUGCAUGCUCCUUUAUUAGCUCAACUUGGAUGUAAAUGAAAUUCAUUUUGUAGUUGUAUAUAUGUGUGGAAAAAAGUCUUUUACUUUUUACGAUAGAGAAACAUUCUGAAAUAUAAAUCAGUUAUUAUGUUGUCAUAUAGACAGUAGCAAUGAUGCAAAUAAUUCAUUAGUCUAUAAAUUAAGAACAUAAAUGUAGUGUGAUUUGCAAUCUGCUACUAUAAAGAAUACAUAAAUAAUGAUACAAAAAGGUAGGUUUGGAAAAAAAAACUGUUAAAUUUACAAGGUAGCAUCAAAUUGGCUCUUUAAUUAAAAUAUUGGUUAAAUGGAUUCCUCUUUUUAUUUUGCAAUAAUAACUAUGAAUUUAAAAA